rnacentral:rRNA from 1 species
UACGAAGGGGGCUAGCGUUGCUCGGAAUCACUGGGCGUAAAGGGUGCGUAGGCGGGUCUUUUAAGUCAGGGGUGAAAUCCUGGAGCUCAACUCCAGAACUGCCUUUGAUACUGAAGAUCUUGAGUUCGGGAGAGGUGAGUGGAACUGCGAGUGUAGAGGUGAAAAUUCGUAGAUAUUCGCAAGAACACCAGUGGCGAAGGCGGACUCACUGGCCCGAUACUGACGCUGGAGGCACGAAAAGCGUGGGG